rnacentral:sRNA from 1 species
UCAAUCUCUUUCAGCAGCGACAGCGUGUGGUCUGCUUUUCAGGACUGUAACUUUUUUAAUUGGCUGCAAGAUGAGAGAGCUGGCCUACUCGACUUUGGUGACUGAACUGAGGCAUGUACUUGAACCACGUGGUUUUUGCGUCGAGCUGGAAAUUUGAAACUUUUCUACGCAACGUUAUUCGAUAAAUAUGCGAGUUGCUCGUGGAUUCUUGUACGUGAAAGUUACACAUAACCUACAAGUUAAAUCCUGUACGCAUUUAAUUGUCCGAGAGCAAGCUGGAAAAAAGGCGGGCAUUCGAACCCCUGCUGAAAGGUACACUCCUAGUUGACCCAGCGAAUGUUCAUGAAUCUAAUGUUUUAAUUUUAUUAUACAACAUAGAUUAA